CGUGUGCAAAAGUUACGCUCAAUUCUUCGUNGACCCGAAAGGCAAGCAGGGUCCGGUUAAACCCUUACCUGACCUUGUCACAAUCCAUCCCCCUAAGGAAGAGGAGCUAUACAUCCCUCCAGCUCUAGUUUCAACCGAUGUAGAGAUUCAGUAGCAUAAAAUCAUGUCAGCAGCCGGAAUACAACUGAUGUAGAUAUGUAAUAUGAAUAUUACGUCGUUGCGUAUCUGAUUUUGUUCAAGCUUUGUUGAUUUGCUCUCGGUGUUCAUGAUCGAUCAAGUCUACAUAAAGUUCUUGACCAUAUCCUAGUGGUCAUCUCUGUCGAUGUGUAAAAAUCUGAUUCCAGUGUGGAGAAUCAUAAUGUAAAAUUAUAUGAUGUGCCUUCAAUUUUUGCCAUGAUUCUAUAGUUCAAUUUUUGUGAGAUCCCAAAUUUUAAUCAGGGAAAAUUAC
rnacentral:lncRNA from 1 species